UACGUAGGUGGCAAGCGUUGUCCGGAAUUAUUGGGCGUAAAGCGCGCGCAGGCGGUCCUUUAAGUCUGAUGUGAAAGCCCACGGCUCAACCGUGGAGGGUCAUUGGAAACUGGGGGACUUGAGUACAGAAGAGAAGAGUGGAAUUCCACGUGUAGCGGUGAAAUGCGUAGAGAAUGUGGAGGAACACCAGUGGCGAAGGCGACUCUUUGGUCUGUAACUGACGCUGAGGCGCGAAAGCGUGGGGAGCAAACAGG
rnacentral:rRNA from 1 species